AACGUAGGAGACAAACGUUAUCCGGAGUUACUGGGCGUAAAGGGCGUGUAGGUGGUUUGUAAGUCUGGCGUGAAAUUUUUCGGCUUAACCGGGAAAGGUCGUCGGAUACUGCAAGGCUAGAGGACGGUAGAGGCGUGUGGAAUUCCGGGUGUAGUGGUGAAAUGCGUAGAGAUCCGGAGGAACACCAGUGGCGAAGGCGACUUCCUGGCCUGUUCUUGACGCUGAGGCGCGAAAGCUAGGGGAGCAAACGGG
rnacentral:rRNA from 1 species